GUGCUGCUCACUUUGGCCGCACGUAUACUAAAACUGAACAAUACAGAGGAGAUUAGCAUGCCCCCUGCUUAGGAUGACAUGCAAAUCUGUGAAGCAUUCCAUAUGUUU